rnacentral:rRNA from 1 species
GACGAACGCUGGCGGCGUGCUUAACACAUGCAAGUCGAACGGUAAGGCCCUUCGGGGUACACGAGUGGCGAACGGGUGAGUAACACGUGGGUGAUCUGCCCUGCACUUCGGGAUAAGCCUGGGAAACUGGGUCUAAUACCGGAUAGGACCACUGCCUGCAUGGGUGGUGGUGGAAAGCUUUUGCGGUGGGGGAUGGGCCCGCGGCCUAGCAGAUUGUUGGUGGGGUGAUGGCCUACCAAGGCGACGACGGGUAGCCGGCCUGAGAGGGCGACCGGCCACGCUGGAACUGGGAUACGGCCCAGACUCCUACGGGAGGCAGCAGUGGGGAAUAUUGCACAAUGGGCGCAAGCCUGAUGCAGCGACGCCGCGUGAGGGAUGACGGCCUUCGGGUUGUAAACCUCUUUCAGCACCGACGAAGCGCAAGUGACGGUAGGUGCAGAAGAAGGACCGGCCAACUACGUGCCAGCCGCCGCAGUAAGAC